rnacentral:tRNA from 1 species
GGUCGCUUACUUCGUUUGGUUAGAGCGUGGUGCUGAUACUUACUGAAACGCCAAGACACCCGAUAAUUUAGCACCGGCUGAGGUUGAGUAGUUGCGAGUUCGACCCUCGCAGUGACCA